AUACGUAGGGGGCGAGCGUUGUCCGGAAUGAUUGGGCGUAAAGGGAGCGUAGGCGGCCCGGUAAGUCUGGAGUGAAAGUCCUGUUUUUAAGAUGGGAAUUGCUUUGGAUACUGUCGGGCUUGAGUGCAGGAGAGGUAAGUGGAAUUCCCAGUGUAGCGGUGAAAUGCGUAGAGAUUGGGAGGAACACCAGUGGCGAAGGCGACUUACUGGACUGUAACUGACGCUGAGGCGCGAAAGUGUGGGGAGCAAACAGGAUUAGAUACCCUGGUAGUCCACACUGUAAACGAUGAAUGCUAGGUGUAGGGGGUAUCGACCCCUUCUGUGCCGCAGUCAACACAAUAAGCAUUCCGCCUGGGGAGUACGGCCGCAAGGUUGAAACUCAAAGGAAUUGACGGGG
rnacentral:rRNA from 1 species